GCCCCCAGAGCCAAGCUGCCCGCUCUACCUCUGCCCCCUCUACUCCCUCCUCCAGUGGUGUUCAUAUGCCACAGUUCAUUACUGCAGGCAUGACUGUGCCUCAGGGCCAAAAGGGCACAGCAUGGAGGCGUCGUUGUGUUCUGUGUCGCAUGAAGUCUCCCAUCACCUGCACCACUUGUUCAGUUUGCCUCUGCUUUACAUCAGAAAGAGACUGAUAUGGGACAUGGCACAGGCAGCACUUCCAAAGGGCUGGUGACCUAGAUGCCAGAGAGGGAGCACACGUGACAGUACCUCCUCCCCGACGCAUGGCUCCAGCCGCAGGACACUGACCAAAAUGACGAUCCCAGGGAUUAUGAGCGGACCGGCCACCUCUGCUGAGGCGCAGGAUCCUGUCGCCGGCUGGGGCACGGGAACCUGACAGACCGACUGAGGCAGGGGAGCCUGGCGAUCCGGUGAAGUGUUGCGGCGAUGACCUCCUGCUGUACUUGCCAGGACCUCCAUCCACUCGGACCCGAUCGAAUGGAGAUUUUAUGGAGAGUACUUCACCCACUCAGUGGUUGGGCUACAGAGACCUGGGUAGGCUUUGAGGGGCGCAGUGGCUCAGUGGGUGAGUAUAGAGAGGGUUAGUUAAAUAAAGGUUCAAUAAAAAAUAGUAUAGAGAGUAGAGAUAAGAUGUCCGUUUGGCCUGGAGACAGCUGCAACCACAACUGACACAUCCAGAGGGGCCCUCUCACCGCCUUGCUACUGGCACCCGGCACGGGAAAGCACCUGGAAUGAAUGUCUCAGCUCUCCGGAGGGAAUUACUUUUUUGGGAGCGAGGGAUGGAAGAAAUGAUGGAGGGAUUGGGGGGU
rnacentral:lncRNA from 13 species